rnacentral:rRNA from 1 species
UACGUAGGCAGCGAGCGUUUGUUCGGGGUUACUGGGCGUAAAGGGUGUGUAGGCGGUUCUUUAAGUUUGGUGUGAAAUCUCCCGGCUCAACCGGGAGGGUGCGCCGAAAACUGGGGGGACUAGAGUGCGGGAUGGGAGAGUAGAAUUCCCUGGUGUAGCGGUGAAAUGCGUAGAUAUCAGGAGGAAUACCGGUGGUGUAGACGGCUCUCUGGACCGCCACUGACGCUGAGACACGAAAGCGUGGGUAGCAAACAGG